rnacentral:rRNA from 1 species
AGUGAACGCUGGCAGUAGGCCUAACACAUGCAAGUCGAACGGCAGCACAGUAAGAGCUUGCUCUUACGGGUGGCGAGUGGCGGACGGGUGAGGAAUACAUCGGAAUCUACUUUUUCGUGGGGGAUAACGUAGGGAAACUUACGCUAAUACCGCAUACGACCUACGGGUGAAAGCAGGGGAUCUUCGGACCUUGCGCGAUUGAAUGAGCCGAUGUCGGAUUAGCUAGUUGGCGGGGUAAAGGCCCACCAAGGCGACGAUCCGUAGCUGGUCUGAGAGGAUGAUCGGCCACACUGGAACUGAGACACGGUCCAGACUCCUACGGGAGGCAGCAGUGGGGAAUAUUGGACAAUGGGCGCAAGCCUGAUCCAGCCAUACCGCGUGGGUGAAGAAGGCCUUCGGGUUGUAAAGCCCUUUUGUUGGGAAAGAAAAGCAGCAGGUUAAUACCCCGCUGUUCUGACGGUACCCAAAGAAUAGGCACCGGCUAACUUCGUG